AGCGAACGCUGGCGGCAGGCUUAACACAUGCAAGUCGAACGGUCCUUCGGGAUAGUGGCGGACGGGUGAGUAACACGUGGGAACGUACCCUUAGGUUCGGAACAACACAGGGAAACUUGUGCUAAUACCGGAUAAGCCCUUCGGGGGAAAGAUUUAUCGCCUUUGGAGCGGCCCGCGUCUGAUUAGCUUGUUGGUGAGGUAAUGGCUCACCAAGGCUACGAUCAGUAGCUGGUCUGAGAGGAUGGCCAGCCACACUGGGACUGAGACACGGCCCAGACUCCUACGGGAGGCAGCAGUGGGGAAUCUUGCGCAAUGGGCGAAAGCCUGACGCAGCCAUGCCGCGUGGAUGAUGAAGGUCUUGGGAUUGUAAAAUCCUUUCAUCGGGGACGAUAAUGACGGUACCCGGAGAAGAAGCCCCGGCUAACUUCGUGCCAGCCGCCGCAGUAA
rnacentral:rRNA from 1 species